AUUGAACGCUGGCGGAAUGCUUUACACAUGCAAGUCGAGCGGCAGCGCGGGGCAACCUGGCGGCGAGCGGCGAACGGGUGAGUAAUGCAUCGGAACAUGUCCAUGUCGUGGGGGAUAGCCCGGCGAAAGCCGGAUUAAUACCGCAUACGCUCGAGAGAGGAAAGCCGGGGACCGCAAGGCCUGGCGCGAUUGGGUUGGCCGAUGUCCGAUUAGCUAGUUGGUGAGGUAAAGGCUUACCAAGGCGAUGAUCGGUAGCUGGUCUGAGAGGAUGAUCAGCCACACUGGGACUGAGACACGGCCCAGACUCCUACGGGAGGCAGCAGUGGGGAAUUUUGGACAAUGGGGGCAACCCUGAUCCAGCCAUUCCGCGUGAGUGAAGAAGGCCUGGUGUAAGACUCUUGUCCGGUAGCGAACGGAAGUGGUGAA
rnacentral:rRNA from 1 species